ensembl:antisense Rbm3os RNA binding motif protein 3, opposite strand
GAGCCCGUGCCUUCCGGCAUUUCUCCCGUUCCGAUGCAGCACGCCCGCCUCACAAUGAAUACAUUUUUGCCUUCGAGCCUGGGACUAACCCUCCUCGGAGCUCAAGCCCACAUGUCAGCGGCCACAACUCUUCCUGCCCUCGUCCCUCGCCCAUAGAGGGCAAGGAAGUGAGGUGGGGAACGAGCGCUGAGCAAGGCGAAGGCGCUUACCUGGAAAUUAAAAGUCAGAGGACAGCAGAGACGACGAGCUCGAAGGAACCCGGAGAACAGAGAGACUGCGGCGCGGGAAGACGCCUGAUAAAGCGAACUCUACAUUGUUGACUCCUAGAAUAAAUUUGUUCAACAUUGUAAAGGCCUGCCUCCCACUCCUCCACCAACCCCACCACAAAUCGAUUUGCUACCCUUUGGAUGCCAUUCAUCUGUAAUUCCUGGCUGAGCUUUCUGUGACAUGUUUGCUGGUUUAUCAAGAGCAGUCCGAUAGAAGGGACUAAAGUGGCACAGAACUGUGAUAUACUGCCAAGAGGUACAGGAACAGGCCUUCCUAGAAGUGGUUCCACACCUACACUACUGUGUAGGCUGACACCUGGAUGGAUGGUAUAUGAAUGCUAUGAAUCAAGAGUCACCUAGCUAGGCCAAUCCCAGAACCCCGACCGUCUAAAACCACAGAUGUUUGUUUUGUCUUGAGACUGUGUAACUCAAUUUGUGAAUUGGUGCUUAGUUCCUUUGCCCCUUGAGCCUCACACAGGCUCGAACUUAAUGCAUGCAGCAGCAUGCCUGAUAUACUCAUUAAGCUUUGUGCUAAUUUGAUAUCAAUAGAUACCUAAUACAUCUUCCCAGCAAA